GAGAAGAAGGCCGCAUCCUCUUCAUCAAUGGGAUUUCGGCCAAGUGGAGGAUUCCCCCUCCAAUGGGUAUCUAUGGGCCAAAGAUGAGGGUUAUAACCUUGCUUUAUUGGGCCUAAGGCCAUGUAAUAGGGUCCAGCCAAUUUUUAAAUGUUUUCGUUGUGUUUUAGGAGGAUUCCUAGGCCGUUUCGGAGUCCCUCAAGGGCCUG
rnacentral:lncRNA from 1 species